rnacentral:rRNA from 1 species
GAGUUUGAUCCUGGCUCAGGACGAACGCUGGCGGCGUGCUUAACACAUGCAAGUCGAGCGAUGAAGCUCCUUCGGGAGUGGAUUAGCGGCGGACGGGUGAGUAACACGUGGGUAACCUGCCUCAUAGAGGGGAAUAGCCUUUCGAAAGGAAGAUUAAUACCGCAUAAGAUUGUAGUACCGCAUGGUACAGCAAUUAAAGGAGUAAUCCGCUAUGAGAUGGACCCGCGUCGCAUUAGCUAGUUGGUGAGGUAACGGCUCACCAAGGCGACGAUGCGUAGCCGACCUGAGAGGGUGAUCGGCCACAUUGGGACUGAGACACGGCCCAGACUCCUACGGGAGGCAGCAGUGGGGAAUAUUGCACAAUGGGGGAAACCCUGAUGCAGCAACGCCGCGUGAGUGAUGACGGUCUUCGGAUUGUAAAGCUCUGUCUUUAGGGACGAUAAUGACGGUACCUAAGGAGGAAGCCACGGCUAACUACGUGCCAGCAGCCGCGGUAAUACGUAGGUGGCAAGCGUUGUCCGGAUUUACUGGGCGUAAAGGGAGCGUAGGUGGAUAUUUAAGUGGGAUGUGAAAU